rnacentral:rRNA from 1 species
UGGGGAAUAUUGGACAAUGGGGGGAACCCUGAUCCAGCCAUGCCGCGUGUGUGAAGAAGGCCUUAUGGUUGUAAAGCACUUUAAGCGAGGAGGAGGCUCUCUUGGUUAAUACCCAAGAAGAGUGGACGUUACUCGCAGAAUAAGCACCGGCUAACUCUGUGCCAGCAGCCGCGGUAAUACAGAGGGUGCGAGCGUUAAUCGGAUUUACUGGGCGUAAAGCAUGCGUAGGCGGCUUUUUAAGUCGGAUGUGAAAUCCCCGAGCUUAACUUGGGAAUUGCAUUCGAUACUGGGAAGCUAGAGUAUGGGGGAGGAUGGUAGAAUUCCAGGUGUAGCGGUGAAAUGCGUAGAGAUCUGGAGGAAUACCGAUGGCGAAGGCAGCCAUCUGGCCUAAUACUGACGCUGAGGUACGAAAGCAUGGGGAGCAAACAGG